rnacentral:rRNA from 1 species
GUCGAGAAUCUUCCGCAAUGGGCGCAAGCCUGACGGAGCGACGCCGCGUGGAGGACGAAGGCCUUCGGGUUGUAAACUCCUGUCACGGGUCAUGAAUGCCAUGGUGUGAACAGCAUCAUGGUUGACGCAAGCCCGAGAGGAAGCACUGGCUAACUCUGUGCCAGCAGCCGCGGUAAUACAGAGAGUGCGAACGUUGUUCGGAAUUACUGGGCUUAAAGCGCACGUAGGCGGCGCCGCAAGUGUGGGGUGAAAGCCCACGGCUUACCCGUGGAAUUGCCUGGCAGACUGCGGUGCUAGAGGAUGGUAGGGGAGAGCGGAACUCCUGGUGGAGCGGUGAAAUGCGUAGAUAUCAGGAGGAACACCGGUGGCGAAGGCGGCUCUCUAGUCCAUUUCUGACGCUGAGGUGCGAAAGCCAGGGGAGCAAACGGGAUUAGAAACCCCUGUAGUCC